CCUACGGGAGGCAGCAGUGGGGAUCUUGCGCAAUGGGCGAAAGCCUGACGCAGCCAUGCCGCGUGAAUGAUGAAGGUCUUAGGAUUGUAAAAUUCUUUCACCGGGGACGAUAAUGACGGUACCCGGAGAAGAAGCCCCGGCUAACUUCGUGCCAGCAGCCGCGGUAAUACGAAGGGGGCUAGCGUUGCUCGGAAUUACUGGGCGUAAAGGGCGCGUAGGCGGAUCGUUAAGUCAGAGGUGAAAUCCCAGGGCUCAACCCUGGAACUGCCUUUGAUACUGGCGAUCUUGAGUAUGAGAGAGGUAUGUGGAACUCCGAGUGUAGAGGUGAAAUUCGUAGAUAUUCGGAAGAACACCAGUGGCGAAGGCGACAUACUGGCUCAUUACUGACGCUGAGGCGCGAAAGCGUGGGGAGCAAACAGGAUUAGAUACCCUGGUAGUCCACGCCGUAAACGAUGAUUGCUAGUUGUCGGGCUGCAUGCAGUUCGGUGACGCAGCUAACGCAUUAAGCAAUCCGCCUGGGGAGUACGGUCGCAAGAUUAAAACUCAAAUGAAUUGACGGGG
rnacentral:rRNA from 1 species